GAUGAACGCUGGCGGCGUGCCUAAUACAUGCAAGUCGAGCGAACGGACGAGAAGCUUGCUUCUCUGAUGUUAGCGGCGGACGGGUGAGUAACACGUGGAUAACCUACCUAUAAGACUGGGAUAACUUCGGGAAACCGGAGCUAAUACCGGAUAAUAUUUUGAACCGCAUGGUUCAAAAGUGAAAGACGCUCUUGCUGUCACUUAUAGAUGGAUCCGCGCUGCAUUAGCUAGUUGGUAAGGUAACGGCUUACCAAGGCAACGAUGCAUAGCCGACCUGAGAGGGUGAUCGACCACACUGGAACUGAGACACGGUCCAGACUCCUACGGGAGGCAGCAGUAGGGAAUCUUGCGCAAUGGGCGAAAGCCUGACGGAGCAACGCCGCGUGAGUGAUGAAGGUCUUCGGAUCGUAAAACUCUGUUAUUAGGGAAGAACAUAUGUGUAAGUAACUGUGCACAUCUUGACGGUACCUAAUCAGAAAGCCACGGCUAACUACGUG
rnacentral:rRNA from 1 species